UGGGGAAUAUUGGACAAUGGGGGCAACCCUGAUCCAGCCAUGCCGCGUGUGUGAAGAAGGCCUUCGGGUUGUAAAGCACUUUAAGCAGGGAGGAAAGGGUGAUGGCUAAUAUCCAUCAUCAUUGACGUUACCUGCAGAAUAAGCACCGGCUAACUUCGUGCCAGCAGCCGCGGUAAUACGAAGGGUGCAAGCGUUAAUCGGAAUUACUGGGCGUAAAGCGCGCGUAGGCGGUUUGGUAAGUGUGAUGUGAAAGCCCCGGGCUCAACCUGGGAAUUGCCUCACAUACUACCAGGCUAGAGUACGGGAGAGGGGGGUAGAAUUCCACGUGUAGCGGUGAAAUGCGUAGAGAUGUGGAGGAAUACCGGUGGCGAAGGCGGCCCCCUGGAUCGAUACUGACGCUGAGGUGCGAAAGCGUGGGGAGCAAACAGG
rnacentral:rRNA from 2 species